GAACCAACUGGUUGAUAAUCACUAACUAUUUUGAUAGUGGGUUAAGUUCAUUUUACCCAACUUCACACCUGGAAGCUGUGACCUGAUGAAGCUCAGGUGUUCCUGGACCCAUCAGAGGACAGAGACAGCUGCAGCAUCAGGACAGUCUGGGUAUCCAAAGGAAGACUGAUGAAGAUGAACACUGACUGCAGAGCUCCAUUACCAGCUCACACUUCAAUAUACUAGAAACCAUAAACCUUGAUGGAGAACAUGAUCUGCACAGUUUACAUAAAAGUUAUAGCUUUGUUACUUCCAACAUGUGUAACUGGAAUAUGACUGAAAUAUAAAUAAAGUGUUUUACUUUUAAGAA